UAACGCGUGGGAAUCUGCCCUUGAGUGCGGGAUAACCGAGGGAAACUUCGGCUAAUACCGCAUGCGCCCCGGGCAACUGGGGGAAAGAUUUAUCGCUCGAGGAGGGGCCCGCGUCGGAUUAGCUAGUUGGUGGGGUAACGGCCUACCAAGGCGAUGAUCCGUAGCUGGUUUGAGAGGAUGAUCAGCCACACUGGGACUGAGACACGGCCCAGACUCCUACGGGAGGCAGCAGUGGGGAAUAUUGGACAAUGGGCGAAAGCCUGAUCCAGCAAUGCCGCGUGCUUGAUGAAGGCCUUAGGGUUGU
rnacentral:rRNA from 1 species